rfam:Myotis brandtii contig228072, whole genome shotgun sequence.
GAGGCACCUUUAUGGGGCAAGACUUGCUUCAGUGAGGCUUUCGUGCUCACUGAGUCUGCCCCCUGAGUGUGUCCCU